rnacentral:rRNA from 1 species
UAGUCCACGCCGUAAACGAUGUCGACUUGGAGGUUGUGCCCUUGAGGCGUGGCUUCCGGAGCUAACGCGUUAAGUCGACCGCCUGGGGAGUACGGCCGCAAGGUUAAAACUCAAAUGAAUUGACGGGGGCCCGCACAAGCGGUGGAGCAUGUGGUUUAAUUCGAUGCAACGCGAAGAACCUUACCUACUCUUGACAUCCAGAGAACUUAGCAGAGAUGCUUUGGUGCCUUCGGGAACUCUGAGACAGGUGCUGCAUGGCUGUCGUCAGCUCGUGUUGUGAAAUGUUGGGUUAAGUCCCGCAACGAGCGCAACCCUUAUCCUUUGUUGCCAGCGGUUAGGCCGGGAACUCAAAGGAGACUGCCAGUGAUAAACUGGAGGAAGGUGGGGAUGACGUCAAGUCAUCAUGGCCCUUACGAGUAGGGCUACACACGUGCUACAAUGGCGCAUACAAAGAGAAGCGACCUCGCGAGAGCAAGCGGACCUCAUAAAGUGCGUCGUAGUCCGGAUUGGAGUCUGCAACUCGACUCCAUGAAGUCGGAAUCGCUAGUAAUCGUAGAUCAGAAUGCUACGGUGAAUACGUUCCCGGGCCUUGUACACACCGCCCGUCACACCAUGGGAGUGGGU